rnacentral:rRNA from 1 species
UACAGAGGGUGCGAGCGUUAAUCGGAAUUACUGGGCGUAAAGCGCGCGUAGGCGGUUUUUGUAAGUCGGGUGUGAAAUCCCCCAAGCUUAACUUGGGAACUGCAUUCGAGACUGCAUAGCUAGAGUAUGGGAGAGGGAAGUGGAAUUUCAGGUGUAGCGGUGAAAUGCGUAGAUAUCUGAAGGAACAUCAGUGGCGAAAGCGACUUCCUGGACCAAUACUGACGCUCAUGUGCGAAAGCGUGGGGAGCAAACAGG